rnacentral:rRNA from 1 species
GACGAACGCUGGCGGCGUGCGUAACACAUGCAAGUCGAACGAGAGAGAGAGAGAAGCUUGCUUUUCUUACAAUCGAGUGGCAAACGGGUGAGUAACGCGUAAACAACCUGCCCCGCAGAUGGGGACAACAGCUGGAAACGGCUGCUAAUACCGAAUACGGUCCUCUUAGCGCAUGGUAAGAGGAAGAAAGGGUGGCCUCUGGAACAAGCUACCGCUGUGGGAGGGGUUUGCGUCUGAUUAGCUGGUUGGAGGGGUAACGGCCCACCAAGGCGACGAUCAGUAGCCGGUCUGAGAGGAUGAACGGCCACAUUGGAACUGAGACACGGUCCAGACUCCUACGGGAGGCAGCAGUGGGGAAUCUUCCGCAAUGGGCGAAAGCCUGACGGAGCAACGCCGCGUGAGUGAAGACGGCCUUCGGGUUGUAAAGCUCUGUUAUAGGGGACGAACGGCCGGGUAGCGAAGAGGUAGCCGGCAUGACGGUACC